rnacentral:rRNA from 1 species
GACGAACGCUGGCGGCGUGCUUAACACAUGCAAGUCGAACGGAAAGGCCUCUUUCGGGGGGUACUCGAGUGGCGAACGGGUGAGUAACACGUGAGUAACCUGCCCUUGACUUUGGGAUAACUUCAGGAAACUGGGGCUAAUACCGGAUAGGAGCUCCUGCUGCAUGGUGGGGGUUGGAAAGUUUCGGCGGUUGGGGAUGGACUCGCGGCUUAUCAGCUUGUUGGUGGGGUAGUGGCUUACCAAGGCUUUGACGGGUAGCCGGCCUGAGAAGGUGACCGGCCACAUUGGGACUGAGAUACGGCCCAGACUCCUACGGGAGGCAGCAGUGGGGAAUAUUGCACAAUGGGUGGAAGCCUGAUGCAGCAACGCCGUGUGCGGGAUGACGGCCUUCGGGUUGUAAACCGCUUUCGCUCAUGACGAAGCUUUGUGUGACGGUAGUGGGUAAAGAAGCACCGGCUAACUACGUG